ensembl:lncRNA
UGAAUAUGCAGAUUUAGAAUGGGAUUUCUUCCUUUCCAGGCAUAUUGUGCAGUCAAGUCCUUGGCAAGGUCUAGCUUUUACAGAUGGGCUCUCUGAUGGGAUGACUCACCGUGGCGGGCAACAUCUAUGUCAAGAAAGCUCACACCGUCUCGAGACCCCCAAAAGGGGGAACAUUUGGAUGGGGAACUGUAUAACUCUGGUGACAGCCUCUGCGCACUUGUGCAACUUUAUGGCCUGAUUUCCCCAGUCCAGACCCAAGCAGGGACAGUAAGCAUACACCACUGCCGAGAGCAGGAAAGGGAAGGGACUAACCGGAGGGCGAGGGCGAGGUCUGUGUCACUGGACAAGCAGCCUUGCAGGCAGCAGUUACUAUGGAACACGUACCUCUGUCUUCAGCUUGAUCAGCAUGUCUGGCUUCUGGCUCUAAGUCUUGGUCCAGGAAUGCUGUGCUGUUCUCUCCCGUAACUGCACAGAAUGUGUUUGCCUUGUUGAAGGCCAGCCCAGGACUAAUUUUGAAAAGUGAAUCUGGAAAACCGCUUGAUUUCAUUUCCCUGGAGAUUUUUCUGGGACAAAGUUAGAAGGGACAGUAAGGUGUCCAGGGGGUGGCUCUUCGUUCACAAUGGCCCCUUCUCCAGGAUUGGCACCAACUCAGGUGUUCCUGAGUUUUUGGGGCAACAUGAGCCUAUCUCCUCCUCAAGCCUUGACCAUGGUUUUCAAUUGGUCAACGAGUGGACAAUGACUGCAAAACAGGCCAAUCAGAGUAAUUCUCUAAGGCUUCCUAAAGUGACACCUGGGGAAGACGGCCGGUCUCUGAUGGUGGCAGCUGCUGGAUGCUGGACUUGAGAGCUUUUGGGUCAUGCUUUGUUCCCUGUUGUGUAAAGGCUGGGGAAGAAGAAAAUAGAGUCCCUCAGAGAAGACUGGCCCAGGUCCAUUGUGACACUCAAGCUGCAGUCCCAGGUGUUUCAGAGCCAUCGCUCUUGUGCAUGAUAUGGCCUUGACUUCAGAGGACAAAGGUGGCCUUGGCUCUGGUGCUGGCUACCUCAGGGGUCUGGAGAAUUCUCUUAAUUCCCUCUCAGGGAUCUGCCUUUCUUUGAAGGAAGAAGAAUCUAGGACCUGGAUUGUGUGUAAAAUAUGUGUAUUUAGGGUUUCUGGAAGAAAAGAUGAUCGUGAGCCCUUCAACAAGAAUGUGGUUUCAUUACGCAUCUUCUGAAGGCAGCCCAUGGUCUUCCGCAGCAUCAGCAUCACUUUGGAUUUCCAUCAACAAGGCAGAAAGCUCUCGGUCUCUCUACUCCUUGCUAAUACUCGUGUCUUGGUUUUGGGAUAAUAGUCAUCCUAACAUUGGAAGAUUUAAACAACAGAAAGAAAACUUGUAGUGUCCAGGAAGCCCGUGAUUUCCUGCCCUUCAGCUUACUUGGAUUUGGUGAAGUCAGAGGAGAUGGGCCUGCAAAGCAUUUAUUGUCUGGGUCAUGGGGAUUACAGGUAACAGGUGAACCCGGAGGAACCACAUCACAGGAGCCAGGCUGUUUUGCACUGAAGCUGUUGAGCUUGUCAUGCAUAUGGUUGUCUCCAGAACCACCCAGCCCUCCUGAGAAACAACUAACACUAAUCUCAGAGGAUGACUGAGCUGAGCAAGAAAGACAGACACACUGGCAUCUCCAUCUUUUGGGCACUUGACUUUUUAUUCUGGGUUUUGAAAACCAACACAUUUUCUCUUUUGUCUAAGUCAGUUUGGGACUAGUUUCUCAUAGCAGUAACUGUCGCCCUGAAACACACAGUUAGAUGGAUAAAGAUUUACAUUUUAAGAUCAUUUCUUUGAUGAGUCUGUGAAAGGAAGAUGUGUGACAGUAAGACUGGAGGCAGAGAUCUAAUUAGGAAUCUAAUACAAUAAACAGAGGGAGACGAGGCUGUGUCAGCAAGCUCAGAGAAGGGCAUGGGAUCUGUUACUUACGAGAACUAGAGUGUUCACAAUGGGGUGUCUCAUUGUGAUGGCAGUUCAAGAAGCAGCCAGAAGUCACCAUCUCUAUGGCCUGUGGUAUGAGGAUGGUGAUGUCCUUGAAUAAAUGCUCAAUACGCAGGGAGGCCUGGUGUAGUGGUGAAAUGGGCCAUUCUGGGCAUGUUGAGUUAUGGGCUUGUGCAAGAGCAAAUAGACACAGCCAGAGACCACGUAUGAAAGGUCAGAGCCUUGGGUCUGAGAAGGCCUGCCUGCUGUUCAGAGCAGCCAUGUAGGUUAGACAUCCCAGGAAGGGUGUGCAGUGCAGAGGGGCGGAGCCUGAGCGUGGAACUCUGGGAAAGUAUAGAGGAGAAGCAGGCUAAAUGUUGCCAGAGAAUGUGUACAGCCAUGCUGAGGCUUGGAGCAGCUGAGCAUGUGGGCUGUGCAGGGCGCCCCUGGACCUCUGAGUGGGUUUUGUGAUUGGUGUGGUUCUUGUGAGCUUUGGAAGAGGGGCUCUGUGUGACCUUGAGAAGAGUAAGAGCUUUACAGCAGCUGCCACCUCUGCCCAUGGUGCUAGUGUGACGUUGUACAAGUUGAGACUUCCUCUCCCAGUCUAUGCAAUGCAGAUAGUAUGUCAUCACGAUGGGAUUGUUGUGGGGUGUCAGGGAGGUAUUAAUGAAAUCCUACGUCCAGAGCCUGCCACACAAAGACGUUCAAUGCAGGCCAGUCUCUUUCUUGCCAUGCUCUCCCUGUCAGCGCUGGCCACUGGCCACUUCUGUCUAUUGUUCAGAGGCAGAAGAGAAGAAGGUGACCUUCAAGUACCUGGAAUCAUUAAGCCUCAGCUGGCUUUGAAUUCGUUAUGUAGCCCAGCCUGUCCUUGAACUCCUGACCCUUCUGCCUUCAUUUCCCAAGCCCUGGAAUUACAGGCCUGUACCACCAUACCUACUUGCUGAAUAGUACUCAUGUCUCCUUCUUGUUCCUAUAACAAUUGAUAUAAAAGGUGGUAAGUAAGCAUGAAGAAGCAUUCAGAGAAGAGGGCGUGGGACCGUGGUGGUGGAAGGAAGAGGCGCUAGUCUCUAGCUCCCAGUGCUGAGGGAUCCCUGACUACACAGGGAUGAGCUGCUACUUAACUAUUGUGGACAGAACCAGUGCUGCUUGACGAUGGGCCACCAGUGGCCUUUGAAGUAGAAUCCUAGUUAAGCCUGAAGGCUAUUCAGGAAGGCAGAGCCCUUGUAGGGACACUGGAGAGUGGAAGGAGCUUUGCUCAUGAUAGGGGGUAUUUAAGGGGAUGGAAAGGUAUUGUUAUUUUCUUUUUCUAUUUUGUGUGUGUGUGUGUGUGUGUGUGUGUGUGUGUGUGUGUGUGUGUGUACUUGCAUGUAUACACAUGUAUUUGCAAGUGCUUGUAGAGGCCCUGGGUUGUUGUUGGGAAUCACUCAUAAUUGCUCUCACCCUGCUCAUUGAGGCAGAGUCUUUCCAUCAAACCCAGAGUUCACAGAUACAGCUGGCCUUGCUAGUCAGUGUGCUCCAUGGAGUCCCUGUCUCCACCCAAGUCUAGAAUGACAGAAGUCAUUCAUGUGGGUUUCUGAGGACCCAAACUCUCAUCCUCACACAUAUAUUGCAAAUACUUGAAUCACUAUCCAUCUCCUCAGUUCUGGGGCUUGCUACUUUCAUGGCAGUGUAUGUCCUGAAGAAGGCAAACUGGAGGGAAACUCAUCACACACAUGUCCCCCACACGGUAUGGGAAGCACUUUGAGUAAUCUGGUAGUUGUAGUAGGGGCAGACUCUCCUCACAGCAGUGCCAUUGGAAGAGUUUUCUGAGGCUCACCUCAUAGAAAGGGUGGAAGCAUGUAAGUUUACUCAAACUUUGUAAAUAACAUUUUAUUCCCAAUUGUCUCUAACUGAUAACCUAUAAAACACAAAUUCAUUUUGAAUAUAAAUUCAGAAAAUAUCUGAUAUUUUGUGUAUAAGAACUAUAACUUUAUUCAGUUACUUUUAUGGUGGUGUAUAUCUUUAAUCCUAGUACUUGGGAGGCAGAGGCUGGUAGAUUUCUGUGAGUUUAAGGCCAGCCUGGCCUAUAUAGUGAGUCCCAGAACAGUUAGAACUACAUAGUAAGACCCUGUUUCAAAAACUAAAACAAACAGAAGAAAGAAAUAUUACCGUAUUAAAGAAAUCCUUAAAACUAUCUGGUUUCCCAUUUCAUACCCCAAAUAUGGCCAGGAAGAAGAAGCCUCUAUUAUGGAGUUUAGAAAGGUUAUAUGUCUUGAAAGUCUGAGAAAGACAGGUUGACAGGUCUCUGUCCCUUCGCAGAUGUUAAGAUCAACACAGGAUCUGAAUUUUAAGAGAUUCCUUCAAAGGCUAGUGCACAUAUCCUUUUGACUGGUUUAAUUAACCCAUAUAGAUCAUUUUUUGUUAAGGUGAUAUUUGAUUAACUUCCCUUCAGCCCCUGGGAGGGUCUUAAGCAUGAGAAUUUCAUAUUCAUACACCAGAGAAAUGAACAACUAAGAUCAGAGCAGGAAAGAACAACAAGGCUGGUGUUGAGGAGCAGCAGGAAUUGAGGAGUGGCCAUCAUGCCAGAAAUCUGCAGGAGAAAAGGAGGCAGAAGCGUCCCAGAAUUCUGUGGUUCAACAAACCAGGAAUUCAGGGUCCAGGGGCACUAAAUAAUAUCCAUACCUUGUUUGGUGUGUGAUUUGCACAGUUUGGCUCCCAUGCUAUGAGCCUUUUAAGGACCUGGCUGGGUGUAUCCACUUCCAAGAAGGUUCAAUUCACAGUGCAUCAAACAGGAAAGGCCACCACCUCCUCCUGAAGCCCUCGAAUGGGACUGGAGAAUUAAGCAAAAACAUCCUCUUUCUUACAGUUCUAUCUUGUCUAAUUAGAUGUACGCAUCAGUACAUCUACUUAGUUAUAUUGUCACUUUUUUUAAAACAACCUACAAACUGGCAGAGCUUGACAAGGCUCUGAAUUACACGUGUAAGUGAAGAGCCAGCAGAUGGCGCCCUUUGUCGUUUAUUGAGGCUCUUACCCGCAGAGAAGAAUGUUGGCCUGGCUUCUUUCAUUUGAGUAGUACAAGUAGUGUUUUAACUGUUUAUUAUGCAUGAGCCAAAAGUCCAUGAAUGUGUAACAUUUUCUCCCAUAUUCCCCCUUUUAUAACAUCAUUUAAAUUCCUUAUUAAUAAUUUAAAAAUGUUCUGGAUUUUAAUCACUUUUCUCAUCACUAAAAUAUCUGAUGAAGAGAUAGGUUUUUUUUUCCCCCUGCUGAAGGUGAGAUAGAGGAAAUCAUCUGCGAGGAAGGAAGAAGAAACUCUCACUCUUAAAUCGAGCUCGCCACCCCCUCGAGCGCAUCACCCCAUCUUUUCAGUUUAAUUGAAUAGUAUUUAUUUAAUUAAUAAAAAUAUCUGUCUAGUGCAGGUUUCAGAAAUUCAAAGCUAGAAUAGGCUGCCAUUAAUAAAACAAGUUUUUUUUUUAUAUCCAAGUUUAAUUAUGGUGGUGUGUGUUUGAUAGCUUGUUACUGUAAAUAAAAGAGAUAAAGGCAGCCCUUCACUGGAGUAGCUGGAGAGCUGUGAAAUAUGUACCUAAUUAAAACUAUUGGUGUAAGAGGCUAAUAAAGUACAUGUGCC